GCGGGCGUGGUGUCAACGGUAGCACAGGGGUCUCCAAAACCUCUUGUCUGGGUUCGAAUCCUAGCGCCCGUGCAA
rnacentral:tRNA from 1 species